rnacentral:rRNA from 6 species
CUCGGCAACGGAUAUCUAGGCUCUCGCAUCGAUGAAGAACGUAGCAAACUGCGAUACUUGGUGUGAAUUGCAGAAUCCCGUGAACCAUCGAGUCUUUGAACGCAAGUUGCGCCUGAAGCCACUAGGUUGAGGGCACGUCUGCCUGGGCGUCAC